rnacentral:sRNA from 1 species
AGGAUCAUUACUGAUGAGAGAAAACUUGAGCUGGUGGUCUCCGAACGGGCACCGGGUCCUCUUCCGGUUUUCAAAGUCUUGCGCCCGAUUCGAGCGGAACGAUGGAAGGGAUAAAAUUCCCGGUCGGUCUCCUCCGGAGAAACGAUUUUUUCCAGAGACGAAAUCGAAAAAUAGAAAUAAAUCCUAAACGGUGGAUCACUCGGCUCGUGGAUCGAUGAAGGACGCAGCAAACUGCGCGUCGAAUUGUGAACUGCAGGACACAUGAACAUCGACGCUUCGAACGCACAUUGCAGCCCACGGAUUCUGUUCCCGGGCUACGCCUGGCUGAGGGCCGGCAAGCGAGUUCGCCCACCACAUAUUCAUUUAUAUGGUGCCGGUAUGCUGGGGCGAGGGACUCCCGCCUGACGGGAAGUCGCCGCCCUGAUGAUCGAGGGCGCCCGGGGAGGACGGGUGGGACCCGCCGCCGUCUUCGUCGACGCGACGCUUUCGAGUUCUCUCGAGACGGCGUCCCGCGAUCGACGGGGACGAGGCCGCGUCCGCCGUCGCCCUCCUCCCCCUCGCCUUGUUUCAGACGCCGACCUCAGAGCAGGUGAGACCACCCGCUGAAUUUAAGCA